rnacentral:snRNA from 1 species
GUGCUUGUUCAGGCAGCGCAUAUGAAAAAUUGGAAUUGAUACAGAGAAGAUUAGCAUGGCCCCUGCGAAAGGAUGACACGCAAAUUCGUGAAGCGUUUCCACAUUUU